rnacentral:rRNA from 1 species
GGGUCAGUAGGUUGGUCGUGCCACCGGUACGUACUGGUCUCACUGAUUCCUCCUUCCUGAAGAACCGUAAUGCCAUUAAUUUGGUGUUGCGGGGAAACAGGACUGUUACUUCGAAAAAAUUAGAGUGUUUAAAGCAAGCUAACGCUUGAAUGCAUUAGCAUGGAAUAAUGAAAUAGGACGAUCGAUCCUAUUUUGUUGGUUUCUAGGAUUGACGUA